ensembl:lncRNA TMEM161B-DT TMEM161B divergent transcript
GUGGUGGCUGCGCUUGCGAGGACCCUGAGGUAGAUUGGGUGGUUUCAACAGGAACGCAUCCACUGUCUGAGAGUUUAAACUUGAUUUUGUGAGGGGACGAACAGCGUGACAAUUAAAAGAAGAUCUGGGAAUCAAAAGCUUCCUGAGGCCUUCACCAGAAGCAGAUGCUGGUGCCGUGCUUCUACAGCCUGCAGAACUGAAGGACUUUACAGCUUCUCUUUCGCAUAUCCAAAUUGCCAGCAUCACCGCUCUUGCACUCCAAGCCAUUAUUAAGUAAAGUAAAGAACACAAACACUGUGAUACUGCUACACUUGAUCUGAUAACCAAGAAGUCUACUAAGUGACUAACAGGUGGGUAGCAUAUACAGCAUAGAUACACUGGACAAAGGGAGGACUCACAUCCUGGGCAAGAUGGAGCAGAAUGGCAGAGUUCAUCAUGCUGCUCAAAAUGAUGUGCAAUUUAAAACUAAUGAAUUAUUUCUGGAAUUUUUCAGUUAAUAUUUUUGGACAUGAGGUGACUGCAGUUAACUAAAACCAUGGAAAGCAAACCCAUAGAUAAAGGGAUACUAUGGUAUGUUUUCAUUUUCUAUAAUAAAAAGUUAAAAAGGAAAAAGACACCAUAGGAAAAUAAAAGACAAGUCACAAACUGGGAAAAGAUCUUUGCAACACAUGUGACUAUCGAAAGGAUUAGUAUUCACACUGUGUAAAGAACCACUACAAUUCAAUGAAAAUGAAGAUAAUGCUUUCCACCCCAAACAGGCAAUUCAUACAGGAGAAAACCUGAAAAGAUACCCAACCACAAGGAAAUACCAUUUCACACCCACCAGAUGAACAAAAAUGUAAAAGUCUGGCAAUAUUACAAUUCUUAUACAUUGCUGGUUGGAGUAUGAAUUGAUAUAAUCAAUUUGGGAAACAAUAUGGUAUUAUCUAGUAGCUGAAGAUGCACAUCUUCUGUGACCCAGGAAAAAUGUAUAGCAGGAGACAUGAGCAAGAAAAUUCAUAAUGGCAUUUAUAACAGUAAAACGUGGAAGAAAAUCCACUGUCCAUCAACAGUAGAGUGAUUAAAUACAUUGUAUAUGCUCAUACAGCAGAAUAUAGUGGUGGAAAAAAUAAAUUACAAGUUCAUGGACAUAGAUAAAUCUCUAACAAAAUGUUGAGCAAAUAAAAAUUCACAAAAGAAUUUUACAGUAGGAUUCCAUUUAUAUAAAGAACCAAUGAAAGUAAAUAGCCUAAGGGUACAAACAUAAGUAAAUCUAUAAAUUAAAGCAAAAGAAUGAUAAGCACAAAUUCAAGGCAGUGAUUUCCUCUAGCUACAGAGGGAAGGGAAUGAAGUAAGGAAAAGGUGAACAAGGAGCUUAAAAGUAUGAUAAUUAUAUGUGUUGGUUUGGCCAAACAGUCCUGGUUUACCUAGCACAGUUCUGGUUUGCUGAUUGCCUGGUGUAAUGAUUAAUAGCACUGUCACUCCCCAAAUUGUCAUUGUUUGGAUAAUGAAUUAUAUGCAUCCUUUUUAGAGUAAAAGUAACUUUUUUCUCCUUAAACUGGAUGGAGGGCAUGUGGGUCUUUAUCAUUCUUCCUUAUACAUGUAUUUUUAAAAUAUAAUUUAAAACUAGUCAGUAUUUUAAAAUAUAAUUUAAAACUUUAGUCAGUGUUAGUCACUGUGUUAGUGACAACACAGUAAAAAAAAAAAAUUUGUAAGAUAAAUAAAUAUAAAUAGGAUCCAAAUGAAACUCUUUUCAUCUGGGUGGAUACAGGGAUAAAUAACAUACUAUAUGCCUGGCAUUGUAUUAAGCUUGUUACUGAUAUUACUUCAUAUUCAUAGCAAGACAUUUAGGUAGGCAUUAUUAUCUCCAUUUUACACAUGAAGAAUCUAAGACACAAAGACUAUACAUAAUUUAACCAAAGUCAUAUUAUAUGUGACAGCGCAGAAUUUGAACCCAAGCAGUGUGACAUCAGACUACAUGCUCUUAACUACCAUGCCAGAGCCCAUAACAGAUUUUCUUAACCUUUUUUAUGCCACAGAUCCCUUUGACAGUCUGGUGAAGCCUAUAGAGUCCUUUUUAGAGUAAUGUCUUUUGUACAUCAAAUAUAAUGCACAGGAUUAUAAAUAAAAUCAAUUAUACUAAAAUAUGGUAAUCAAAAUAUUUAACAAAUGUAUACUAUACCUGUACUUUUUAUUAA